rnacentral:rRNA from 1 species
ACGCUCGACACCUACGGAGGCAGCAGUAGGGAAUCCUCCACAAUGGGCGCAAGCCUGAUGGAGCAACACCGCGUGAGUGAAGAAGGGUUUCGGCUCGUAAAGCUCUGUUGUUGGAGAAGAACGUGCGUGAGAGUAACUGUUCACGCAGUGACGGUAUCCAACCAGAAAGUCACGGCUAACUACGUGCCAGCAGCCGCGGUAAUCUGAGCGGGCUGGCAAGGC